rnacentral:lncRNA from 1 species
CUCUUUGCUGACUGUGGGCCUACCAUAGGAACAACUAUCUGUGAUGUUGCUCCACCUAUUUCCUGACUUCUGUCUCAGUCUCUUCCUAUGUUUUCAAGGAGCAAGACUAGCAUCACAAGCGUGAGUUUUGGAGUCAAAGGUCAGAAGUUGUCCUGUCUGAGGACAAGAGCUGCACCAGAUGACUUCUCAAGAUCCCUUUGACCCUUAUGAUUGUCUACUGGCAUAAAUAUAAGGGUUUGUUCAGUUUCCUAUUUGAACUGAAUUUCCUUAUAACCAUUUCUGAUUAGCAUAUCGAUCACAAAAGUACCACUGUAAAGGAUAGAACAUGAGUCAUUAUUUUUACUUUCUUUUGCCCCGAAUCUGUCAAUUAUACUGUAAGCAUUUAUCUUCUGUCACUUAAAGUGGUUUUAAAACCUCUGUGAGUUCUUACUUGUUUGAGGAAAUUGGAGCAGGUUUUCAGGACAAUCCUUAAACUGACUAUAUAUGAAAAAAAAAAAAA